GGCCUGGUGGUGUAGCGGUAACAUGCCCUUUGAAUGUAAAAUUCGAGCUCAUAUUUGUCAAGGGAGUCCCUUGUUCGAAUCAAGGUCAGGCCG